AAGUAGCUAAACUCUUGGUUCCUUGGUGUGUGUUUUUGUUUGUUCAUUUCUAGUACUUGUCUAUGUCUUUGGGGUAAUUUUUGAUUUAGAAUUUUGUAGAAAUUACUCGGCACAGUGUAGUUGAGGUGAAUAUAGGCAAGAAGGCUUAGGAAGCCUACAACAAAGGAAUCUGACACCAACUUUUGAGAUUUAUUCAGUCCAGCCAAGAGAAUAUAUUUAUGGUCAAACUAGAUCUUGGAUUACAGCUCCAAAGACCCUUGGGCUGACAGAGCAGGUUCUCAUUUCUCAGCUCUUUCCCUUAUCACUUGCAGUGAACUCUGCCCCCAGGAGCAGAGUAUCCAGUUCUGUGUCCAAGCACUCUAUGAAUCUUUACCCUUGUUGAAGAAAUACUCAGAGACAGAAGCAUUUAGAAAAGGAAAAGUUUACCUGCAAAGAGAGCAAGAGAAUGACUGGCUUGCCUAAUAAAAAACCUAUGAAAUACACAAGGGCAGGGGAUUACCUCGGUAUCUCCAGAUGAGUGAAAUGCCAUGCACAUCUUGAUGGUUAGUAAAUAUUUAUUGAAUGGCAAAUACUUAAAAUCUGUGUAACUUUUUAUAUUCAUAUUCAUAUUUGCAAAGCCUCUGUCGGGUAAUCAGGGGGCAGGUGGUAUUAUCCUGUUUUCAG
rnacentral:lncRNA from 10 species